rnacentral:lncRNA from 1 species
AUCCUGACGUGGCUUUGUCAUGGGUUAAAGACUCUUCAGAGCUGUCUGAAGUGACUAUCCAUGUUUACACAUAUGGUGCCAUAAAUGGGACCUGAAAAGUUUGCUAUGGGAAGGAAUUAGUGAUUCUCGGAACACGUAUGCAGUCCUCACUUUAUACCGCUGAGUGCUCUGCUUGUAUAAAUCACUUUUUCUGCCCUGAA